rnacentral:rRNA from 1 species
AGAGUUUGAUCCUGGCUCAGAACGAACGCUGGCGGCAGGCUUAACACAUGCAAGUCGAGCGCCCGCAAGGGGAGCGGCAGACGGGUGAGUAACGCGUGGGAAUCUACCCAUCUCUACGGAAUAACCCAGGGAAACUUGGACUAAUACCGUAUACGUCCUUCGGGAGAAAGAUUUAUCGGAGAUGGAUGAGCCCGCGUUGGAUUAGCUAGUUGGUGGGGUAAUGGCCUACCAAGGCGACGAUUCAUAGCUGGUCUGAGAGGAUGAUCAGCCACAUUGGGACUGAGACACGGCCCAAACUCCUACGGGAGGCAGCAGUGGGGAAUAUUGGACAAUGGGCGAAAGCCUGAUCCAGCCAUGCCGCGUGAGUGAUGAAGGCCCUAGGGUUGUAAAGCUCUUUCAACGGUGAAGAUAAUGACGGUAACCGUAGAAGAAGCCCCGGCUAACUUCGUG